rnacentral:rRNA from 1 species
GACGAACGCUGGCGGCGUGCUUAACACAUGCAAGUCGAACGGAAAGGCCCUGCUUUUGUGGGGUGCUCGGGUGGCGAACGGGUGAGUAACACGUGAGUAACCUGCCCUUGACUUUGGGAUAACUUCAGGAAACUGGGGCUAAUACCGGAUAGGAGCUCCUGCUGCAUGGUGGGGGUUGGAAAGUUUCGGCGGUUGGGGAUGGACUCGCGGCUUAUCAGCUUGUUGGUGGGGUAGUGGCUUACCAAGGCUUUGACGGGUAGCCGGCCUGAGAGGGUGACCGGCCACAUUGGGACUGAGAUACGGCCCAGACUCCUACGGGAGGCAGCAGUGGGGAAUAUUGCACAAUGGGCGGAAGCCUGAUGCAGCAACGCCGCGUGCGGGAUGACGGCCUUCGGGUUGUAAACCGCUUUCGCCUGUGACGAAGCGUGAGUGACGGUAAUGGGUAAAGAAGCACCGGCUAACUACGU